rnacentral:rRNA from 1 species
UACGUAGGUGGCAAGCGUUUGUCCGGAUUUAUUGGGUUUAAAGGGUGCGUAGGCGGUCUUUUAAGUCAGUGCUGAAAUACUCCAGCUUAACUGGAGGGGUGGCAUUGAUACUGGAAGACUUGAGUGUAGUCGAGGUAGGCGGAAUUGACGGUGUAGCGGUGAAAUGCUUAGAUAUCGUCAAGAACACCGAUAGUGAAGACAGCUUACUAGGCUACAACUGACGCUGAGGCACGAAAGUGUGGGGAUCAAACAGG